rnacentral:rRNA from 1 species
UACGGAGGGUGCGAGCGUUGUCCGGAAUCACUGGGCGUAAAGGGCGCGUAGGCGGCCUGGCAAGUCAAUGGUGGAAAGCCCGCGGCUCAACUGCGGGUCGGCCACUGAUACUGCUAUGGCUCGAGCACUGUAGAGGCAGGUGGAAUUCCGGGUGUAGCGGUGGAAUGCGUAGAGAUCCGGAAGAACACCGGUGGCGAAGGCGGCCUGCUGGGCAGUAGCUGACGCUGAGGCGCGACAGCGUGGGGAGCAAACAGG